AUGCUCUGGAAAUCAAAAAUGAAUAACACGUCACGUCCUUCCAUGUUGGAGAACUGUGGCCAGAUGACCUCUGUCAAAUGCUGUGCUCCUGCAAUGAAGAAAGGAAUGAAGACAGCAAGUCUUCCGAGAAAAAAUGAAGCAAGGCAUCGCACCCAUCCCUUUUCCAGUGGGAUACAACUGGGAAUGGACGAGUGUUUCCAGAACCCUGAUAAAAAUUCUACCAUCGUCAACCCAGCUUCCCCACCCAUGGAAGGAAGGAUUUCUUCUCGCUCGACCAAAAGCAAAAUCCAUCCGUGUGCUAAGUUAUCGAGGAAGUAGGGAGGAUGGAAGAGGCAAGGCAAACAGCCGGUGCUUGGAAGGUGGACAGGGUCUUCUUCUGAGAAGGGGCUGAAGGACAGCUUGCUGCGGACGCCGUGGGUGAGAAAAAGCGCGGAAGAGAAGACUGGGAGUGUCAGUGAGCGCAGCUGUGCACAAUGCCCGGAUUUCUUUCACUGUCCUCUAAGAUAUUUCAGUAAAGAAUGCAAUUUAUUUUUCAUCCCCGUGGCUGUGUGGACUGUUCCAUAAACGCGAUACCGACUCUGAGCCACGUGGGCUUGGAUAUAUUCGAUAUUGCAGGUGUUUC
rnacentral:lncRNA from 12 species